rnacentral:rRNA from 1 species
CUACGGGUGGCAGCAGUGGGGAAUAUUGGACAAUGGGGGAAACCCUGAUCCAGCAAUGCCGCGUGUGUGAAGAAGGCCUGCGGGUUGUAAAGCACUUUCGGUUGGGAGGACUGCUUCUAGCACUAAUAUUGUUGGAAGUUGACGUUACCUUCAGAAGAAGCACCGGCUAACUCCGUGCCAGCAGCCGCGGUAAUACGGAGAGUGCAAGCGUUAAUCGGAAUUACUGGGCGUAAAGCGCGCGUAGGUGGCUAGAUCAGUCGGGUGUGAAAGCCCCGGGCUUAACCUGGGAACUGCAUCCGAUACUGUCUAGCUUGAGUACAGGAGAGGAGAGUGGAAUUCCACAUGUAGCGGUGAAAUGCGUAGAUAUGUGGAGGAACACCAAUGGCGAAGGCAGCUCUCUGGCCUGAUACUGACGCUGAGGUGCGAAAGCGUGGGGAGCAAACAGGAUUAGAUACCCGAGUAGUC